rnacentral:rRNA from 1 species
UACGUAGGGUGCGAGCGUUAAUCGGAAUUACUGGGCGUAAAGCGUGCGCAGGCGGUUUUGUAAGCCAGAUGUGAAAGCCCCGGGCUUAACCUGGGAAUGGCAUUUGGGACUGCAAGGCUUGAGUGCGGCAGAGGAGACUGGAAUUCCUGGUGUAGCAGUGAAAUGCGUAGAUAUCAGGAGGAAUACCGAUGGCGAAGGCAGGUCUCUGGGCCAUAACUGACGCUGAGAAGCGAAAGCAUGGGGAGCGAACAGG